rnacentral:rRNA from 1 species
UACGUAGGGUGCAAGCGUUAAUCGGAAUUACUGGGCGUACAGCGUGCGCAGGCGGUGAUGUAAGACAGAUGUGAAAUCCCCGGGCUCAACCUAGGAACUGCAUUUGUGACUGCAUCGCUGGAGUGCGGCAGAGGGGGAUGGAAUUCCGCGUGUAGCAGUGAAAUGCGUAGAUAUGCGGAGGAACACCGAUGGCGAAGGCAAUCCCCUGGGCCUGCACUGACGCUCAUGCACGAAAGCGUGGGGAGCAAACAGG